UAAAUAAUAAAACAAAGCAUUAAAUAAUAAUUAAAGAACCUGAAUGAGUUAAACAAUAGUCUUGAACACUCCACCACAAGCCGGUAGGAUUUGUUCUUGGAUUCUUCAAUUAAACAACAAAACAAAACGAAGGAAAUAAAAACUAGAUUCUAACGUAAGGUUAGAUCCGGUAAAAAGGUGCACAAUAGUUUCCGGUGUAGAAACUAUUGUACGAAAAGAAUUAACUAAAUGCUAAAAAGGAAAAAGGAAAAUAAAAAUUGCAAGAGAGAUAAUGUAGAACUCGUAAAAAUAAUAAAGAAACAAUAAUGUUAAGUUGCUGGAAAAGAAAAUAUGCAAAAGCGAAAACGGCAAAGGAAAAAAUGUGGAAAAGCUUCGGAACCCUUUUUGGUUUUGCAAGUGGCUAUUUAUAUAUGUUUGAGUAACCGCUUCCGCUGCCAAAAAGGUCUUCAACGUGCAUAAAAGCAUGGCGUGGAUAUAGGGCUCAACACUCCUCAACGUCUCCUCAACGUCUCUGAGGCGUUCC
rnacentral:lncRNA from 1 species